rnacentral:rRNA from 1 species
UGCAAGUCGAGCGGAUGAGAGGAGCUUGCUCCUCGAUUCAGCGGCGGACGGGUGAGUAAUGCCUAGGAAUCUGCCUAGUAGUGGGGGACAACGUUUCGAAAGGAACGCUAAUACCGCAUACGUCCUACGGGAGAAAGUGGGGGAUCUUCGGACCUCACGCUAUUAGAUGAGCCUAGGUCGGAUUAGCUAGUUGGUAGGGUAAAGGCCUACCAAGGCGACGAUCCGUAACUGGUCUGAGAGGAUGAUCAGUCACACUGGAACUGAGACACGGUCCAGACUCCUACGGGAGGCAGCAGUGGGGAAUAUUGGACAAUGGGCGAAAGCCUGAUCCAGCCAUGCCGCGUGUGUGAAGAAGGCCUUCGGGUCGUAAAGCACUUUAAGUUGGGAGGAAGGGCUCGCAGCGAAUACCUGUGAGUUUUGACGUUACCAACAGAAUAAGCACCGGCUAACUUCGUGCCAGCAGCCGCGGUAAUACGAAGGGUGCAAGCGUUAAUCGGAAUUACUGGGCGUAAAGCGCGCGUAGGUGGCUUGAUAAGUUGGAUGUGAAAUCCCCGGGCUCAACCUGGGAACUGCAUCCAAAACUGUCUGGCUAGAGUGCGGUAGAGGGUAGUGGAAUUUCCAGUGUAGCGGUGAAAUGCGUAGAUAUUGGAAGGAACACCAGUGGCGAAGGCGACUACCUGGACUGACACUGACACUGAGGUGCGAAAGCGUGGGGAGCAAACAGGAUUAGAUACCCUGGUAGUCCACGCCGUAAACGAUGUCAACUAGCCGUUGGGAUCCUUGAGAUCUUAGUGGCGCAGCUAACGCAUUAAGUUGACCGCCUGGGGAGUACGGCCGCAAGGUAAAACUCAAAUGAAUUGACGGGGGCCCGCACAAGCGGUGGAGCAUGUGGUUAAUUCGAAGCACGCGAAGACCUUACCUGGCCUUGAAUGCUGAGACUUUCCAGGAUGGAUUGUGCCUUCGGGA